rnacentral:sRNA from 1 species
AGUAUCUACAUUCGGCGUCGAUGCGCCAC